rnacentral:rRNA from 1 species
GAUGAACGCUGGCGGCGUGCCUAAUACAUGCAAGUCGAGCGAACGGACGAGAAGCUUGCUUCUCUGAUGUUAGCGGCGGACGGGUGAGUAACACGUGGAUAACCUACCUAUAAGACUGGGAUAACUUCGGGAAACCGGAGCUAAUACCGGAUAAUAUUUUGAACCGCAUGGUUCAAAAGUGAAAGACGGUCUUGCUGUCACUUAUAGAUGGAACCGCGCUGCAUUAGCUAGUUGGUAAGGUAACGGCUUACCAAGGCAACGAUGCAUAGCCGACCUGAGAGGGUGAUCGGCCACACUGGAACUGAGACACGGUCCAGACUCCUACGGGAGGCAGCAGUAGGGAAUCUUCCGCAAUGGGCGAAAGCCUGACGGAGCAACGCCGCGUGAGUGAUGAAGGUCUUCGGAUCGUAAAACUCUGUUAUUAGGGAAGAACAUAUGUGUAAGUAACUGUGCACAUCUUGACGGUACCUAAUCAGAAGGCCACGGCUAACUACGUG